rnacentral:misc_RNA from 1 species
GAUAAGAACGUAGCGAAAUGCGAUAAGUAAUGUGAAUUGCAGAAUUCAGUGAAUCAUCGAAUCUUUGAACGCAUCUUGCGCUCCUUGGUAUUCUGAGGAGCAUGCCUGUUUGAGUGUCAUUAAAUUCUCAACUACACUGACUUUGAAUUGGUGUGGCUUGGAUUUGGGGGGAAAAUUGUUGUGGGCUUUUUGUAUAGUCUGCUCCCCUGAAAUUGAUUAGCGGUACCUUUGUGGAACUGUCUACAGGUGUGAUAAUUAUCUACAUCUGCUGGAAUGCUGCUUUCUAAACCUUACUUGUAUUGACAAUCUUGACCUCAAAUCAGGUAGGACUACCCGCUGAACUUAAGCAUAUCAAUAAGCGGAGGA